rnacentral:SRP_RNA from 1 species
CCCGGACGGCACGGGGCCAGCUCCUACUGAAUUCCCCCAGGGUGGAAACGCAGCAAGGGUAGGUGGUUGAGCGGCUGGCGUGUCCGUCCACUUUU